UGCCAGCCGCCGCGGUAAUACGGAGGGUGCAAGCGUUGUUCGGAAUUACUGGGCGUAAAGCGCGCGUAGGCGGCUAUUUAAGUCAGAUGUGAAAGUCCACGGCUCAACCGUGGAACUGCAUCCGAAACUGCAAGUCUUGAGUAUUGGAGAGGGAAGCGGAAUUCCUGGUGUAGAGGUGAAAUUCGUAGAUAUCAGGAGGAACACCGGUGGCGAAGGCGGCUUCCUGGACAAUUACUGACACUGAGGUGCGAAAGCGUGGGGAGCAAACAGGAUUAGAUA
rnacentral:rRNA from 1 species